AAACAAACAUUUUACAACACCUUCAUCGUACACUGGUUAGCAAAAAUUUGCCGAACAAAAUGGUCACUCAUAUGGCGAUUGCAAUGUGCUUUCCUACGAUAAAAAAA